rnacentral:lncRNA from 1 species
GCAAGCUAUGCUCACGAGUCCUCUCUCUCUCCUUCUCUCUCUCUCGUGUCUGUGCAGCAGUCCCCAGACUCGAUGACUUCCAGUCAGAUGUUGGGUCCUGGUCUCAACCUGAGGGUCUGGGAGGACUGAUGCCUACCACAACAGUCAGGUAACACAGACUGCCUACCACACAGUCAGGUAACACAGACAGCUACCACACAGUCAGUAACACAGACUACCACCACAGACUGCCUACACACAGUCAGUAACACAGACUGCCUACCAACCAGGUAACAGAUGCCUACCACACCAGGUAACACAGAUGGCCUACCACACAGACUGCUACCACGCAGCCAGGUAACAAAGACUGCCUACCACACAAUCAGGUAACACAGACAGCCUACCACACAGACAGCCUACCACACAUCAGGUACACAGACUGCCUACCACACAGUCAGUAACACAGACUGCUACCACACAGUCGGUAACAAGACUGCCUACACACAGUCAGGUAACACAGACUGCCUACCACAACAGUCAGGUAAAACAGACUGCCUACACACAUCAGGUAAACACAGACGCCUACCACACAGUCAGGUAACACAGACUGCCUACCACACAGUCAGGUAACACAGACUGCCUACCACACAGUCAGGUAACACAGAACGGCCUACCACACAGACUGCCUACCAACACAGACUGCCUACCACACAGACUGCCUACCACACAGACUGCCUACCACACAGACUGCCUACCUACCAGUAACACAGACUGCCUACCACAUCAGGUAACACAGACUGCCUACAACACAGUCAGGUAACAGACAGCCUACCACCACACACAGACUGCCUACCACACAGUCAGGUAACCCCG